UGACGAGCCAGCCAUAAGGCUUAACACUGAAACCAAAAUUAUAUAGAAAUGUGAAGAAUGGGACCUCUAGUUGAAUGAAGAUUCCUGUAUGUUCUUCCAUACUACCAGAAAGUCCCAUGGAAGCUGCCAAUGGAGGGGAGCAUUGACACCUGUGAACCACAGUGAUGACCAACAUGGCAAUAUAUUCCUAAAGGUGCCUAAGUGACACUCACAUAUUGGUGAUAACCUACAGCUGUCAAAUUGGACUCAAGAGCACUCAACAGGAGGGAAAUCAUGUCUGAUACUGGAAAGCUAGCCUACAUCUUGGGGCUAAUGAGAUCCUGUACUUGAGAAAAAAAAAAAUCUGCAGCCACUGCUUUGCUAGAUCAGCAAAAUUCCUAACCCCAUUCUGAACGUUAUUCUUAUACUCACAGUUUCUCGGUAGGGUCAGACAUUUAACAAACUGCUCAUAUCUGUCGUGCUGGGCUUCGUGUUCCGCCCUGGGAAGACACGGUCACAUCAGCGAGGAUGAACGGCCAGUAGAUUGAGUAGAAAUUAAGAAGCCGGUGUUCUAGGCUGCUUCUGCCCCUGACGCUCUGCAGAGCGUGCAUCCAUGUCACAUCCCCUCUCUGCAUCCUAGCUGCUCAACAGGCACAACAGAGCUGACCUUUCUCCCCUCCCGCUGUGAGGAUGAAGCCCUGCUGCAGAGCACUUUGAAAUCUUUGGAUGGCAAGCAAGGCAGAAGCGCCAAGUAUGAUCGCUACCCGUGCCAGCAACACUAGAAGACAGCACAAAAAUAGGAAGCAAAGAAAUUUUCACGUUGUGUAAGCUUCAGCGAGAAAAUUGGCUGGCCAGAAUGUCACCCCUUGUUUCUGGUUCAC
rnacentral:lncRNA from 1 species